rfam:Echinostoma caproni strain Egypt genome assembly, scaffold: ECPE_scaffold0002234
GCACUGCUCACGAGUCCCAAGCAGGACGAAACAGCUGUCCAGUGC